CCCUUAGAUGUCCUGGGCCGCACGCGCGCUACACUGAGUGUCUGAGAUACGAGUCUGCCUGGUCCGGCAAGGUCUAGGUAAUCGCUAAAAGACACAUCAUGCUUGGGAUAGAUUAUUGCAAAUAUUAAUCUUGAACGAGGAAUUCCUAGUAAGCGCAAGUCAACAGCUUGCGUUGAUUACGUCCCUGCCCUUUGUACACACCGCCCGUCGCUACUACUGAUUGGAUGUUUAAGCGAGGUUCUCGAACUGCUAGCGACUUAGCUUCGGUGAGGUCGCAGUGUGGGAAGUGAACCUAGCGUUGGUGUCUAGAGGAAGUAAAAGUCGUAACA
rnacentral:rRNA from 1 species